AGCGAACGCUGGCGGCAGGCUUAACACAUGCAAGUCGAACGCCCCGCAAGGGAGUGGCAGACGGGUGAGUAACACGUGGGAACGUACCCUUUGGUUCGGAAUAACUUGGGGAAACUCAAGCUAAUACCGGAUAAGCCCUUAUGGGGAAAGGUUUACUGCCGAAGGAUCGGCCCGCGUCUGAUUAGCUAGUUGGUGAGGUAAUGGCUCACCAAGGCGACGAUCAGUAGCUGGUCUGAGAGGAUGAUCAGCCACACUGGGACUGAGACACGGCCCAGACUCCUACGGGAGGCAGCAGUGGGGAAUAUCGGACAAUGGGGGCAACCCUGAUCCAGCCAUGCCGCGUGAGUGAUGAAGGCCUUAGGGUUGUAAAGCUCUUUUACCCGGGACGAUAAUGACUGUACCGGGAGAAUAAGCCCCGGCUAACUUCGUGCCAGCCGCCGCGGUAA
rnacentral:rRNA from 1 species